rnacentral:lncRNA from 1 species
CUUGGAAGAGAUUCCCCUUCCUUCAACAUUUAUUAAAGAUGUAAGGGAAAAAAGUGCAUAGCAUCAACCUUAUGAAACAUAAACAAAGAUGAGGUACACCUAUCCUUAAGGUUAGGCAUUGGUAUGACAUCCAGUGUUAUCAUUUAUCAACGCAUGAUGGCAGUAGUAGUCCAUGAGAUGAUUAACUGAUAAUGUAUUUUACUAAACAAUCCCUCAUGCAUUUUUUCUACAGAUAGCUACAACUUUAGUUUAUGAGUCUUGACUGUUACUGAGCUCAGCUCCAUGGAAGACUGAAAAAGAAAAUGAAGCUACUUUUAAAGAAGAGGACUGAGAGGUGGAAAAAGAAAUAUUGCUUCAACUCUAAGAGCAAGUAUCUAAUAACAACUCAUGUCUUUGGAAGGAAUACUAACAUGAAGAGAGCUGUUCUACAAUUUGUUCUGUGUCAGAAAACAAAGAAAAAAUGUUUUAAACUGAAGUGAAGCAUCCAGCUGUUACCUUUUUUGGUUGAUUUGUUUGUUUGUUUGGUAGUUUUGCUGCUUAUUGGAUUUCAAAUAAGACUGCCAAAUUGUUAGAGUCAUAGUCAUAAAGUCACAGUCAUUGUAGCCUGCUGUAUUUCUUCAACUCUGAUUUUAGCUUGUCUGAAUUUGUUGUCUACAUUCCCAAAAUGUAAGGGUGAGGGUGAAGAAUGUGGUCCCUGUGCACAGACUUUCCAUUGCCUGGCCCAACAGAAAUAUAACAUGUCAGUUGCACUUGUGUUUUAAAUGAGUGUAUAUGUUCACUUAGAUGAAAGGAAAGUUUGAUAUUAAACAAAUGUCAGCUUGUGUAAGUGGAAAGGUUUGUUUUGUUUUAUUGAGAUUUUUUUGUCUGAAAUCUUUUAUCAAACAUUUAUCAUCAAAGAUGUGCAGGUAAUAUUUGUAGCUCUUCAAAGUAGAAUGGAAUAAUCAAGCACUUAUGCUGUACCCUGUGAAUCAUUUCUGGGGACUUUUUAUCUAGAAAAAUGUGUUAAAGUUUUGUGUUGUUCCCCCCUACCCUACCAACAGGAGAAUAGUUGUUCAGACUAUCCAAAGGAAGAGAAUUUCCUAAUCUUUAACUAGUAGUGCUCUCAAACAGCAAAGCAGAGAAGCUCAGUAAUAAUUGGAAACCAAUCCAUGGCUCUUCAAGUGUAUUUGUUUCCAUUAUGACUUGUGUUUCUGAAUUCUGGUCCUUAAUACAUUAAGCUGCAAUAUUUUGUGUGACUGUAGAAUACAUCAAGGGCCAUUUUUUUUUUUUUUUUCAUGCAGAAUAAAGCUCAGUAUUUCUCAAAUAAGCCA